rnacentral:misc_RNA from 1 species
AAGUCGUAACAAGGUUUCCGUAGGUGAACCUGCGGAAGGAUCAUUAAAAAAGAUUUAUAACUUUAUAUUUUUGUGAAACAUUUAACAAUAUUUUUUUAUGUAAUAAUGCUUUAUUAUAAACUAAAAAAACUUUCAACAAUGGAUCUCUUGGUUCUU